GGACUACUCGGGUUUCUAAUCCCGUUCGCUCCCCUGGCUUUCGCGCCUCAGCGUCAGUUUUCGUCCAGAAAGUCGCCUUCGCCACUGGUGUUCUUCCUAAUAUCUACGCAUUUCACCGCUACACUAGGAAUUCCACUUUCCUCUCCGAUACUCUAGAUUGGCAGUUUCCAUCCCAUCACGGGGUUAAGCCCCGAACUUUUAAGACAGACUGACCAAUCCGCCUGCGCGCGCUUUACGCCCAAUAAUUCCGGACAACGCUUGCCACCUACGUAUUACCGCGGCGGCUGGCAC
rnacentral:misc_RNA from 1 species